GAUGAACGCUGGCGGCGUGCCUAAUACAUGCAAGUCGAGCGAACAGACGAGGAGCUUGCUCCUCUGACGUUAGCGGCGGACGGGUGAGUAACACGUGGAUAACCUACCUAUAAGACUGGGAUAACUUCGGGAAACCGGAGCUAAUACCGGAUAAUAUAUUGAACCGCAUGGUUCAAUAGUGAAAGACGGUUUUGCUGUCACUUAUAGAUGGAUCCGCGCCGCAUUAGCUAGUUGGUAAGGUAACGGCUUACCAAGGCAACGAUGCGUAGCCGACCUGAGAGGGUGAUCGGCCACCCUGGAACUGAGACACGGUCCAGACUCCUACGGGAGGCAGCAGGAGGGAAUCUUCCGCAAUGGGCGAAAGCCUGACGGAGCAACGCCGCGUGAGUGAUGAAGGUCUUCGGAUCGUAAAACUCUGUUAUUAGGGAAGAACAAAUGUGUAAGUAACUAUGCACGUCUUGACGGUACCUAAUCAGAAAGCCACGGCUAACUACGUG
rnacentral:rRNA from 1 species